UACGUAGGUGGCAAGCGUUGUCCGGAUUUACUGGGCGUAAAGGGCGUGCAGGCGGCCCGUUAAGUGCAUGGUGAAAGCUCCCGGCUCAACUGGGAGAGGUCUGUGUAUACUGGCGGGCUUGAGGGGGGUAGAGGAAAGUGGAAUUCCCGGUGUAGUGGUGAUAUGCGUAGAUAUCGGGAGGAACACCUGUGGCGAAGGCGGCUUUCUGGGCCUACCUGACGCUGAGACGCGAAAGCGUGGGGAGCGAACAGGAUUAGAU
rnacentral:rRNA from 1 species